rnacentral:lncRNA from 1 species
GACCAUCAUCAGAAAGACACAACUAAAACAACAUAUUAUGAAUGAUAAUUCCAACAGCCAAAUGAGCACCAAGCGUGUGGCACCUCCAAUGAUCAUCUAAACCAUUGGAUACAUUAUCACCCAACUUAAUGGAAGGCUAUGAUCUAGUUAUCACCAUAACUAUUUUAUUUUAGGGAUCUAAUAAUUUUAGAAGAUUUAAUUAAUUG